rnacentral:rRNA from 1 species
CAACCUGCCGAUGACUCGGGGAUAGCCUUUCGAAAGAAAGAUUAAUACCCGAUGGCAUAGUUCUUCCGCAUGGUAGAACUAUUAAAGAAUUUCGGUCAUCGAUGGGGAUGCGUUCCAUUAGGUUGUUGGCGGGGUAACGGCCCACCAAGCCUUCGAUGGAUAGGGGUUCUGAGAGGAAGGUCCCCCACAUUGGAACUGAGACACGGUCCAAACUCCUACGGGAGGCAGCAGUGAGGAAUAUUGGUCAAUGGACGAGAGUCUGAACCAGCCAAGUAGCGUGAAGGAUGACUGCCCUAUGGGUUGUAAACUUCUUUUAUACGGGAAUAAAGUGAGGCACGUGUGCCUUUUUGUAUGUACCGUAUGAAUAAGGAUCGGCUAACUCCGUGCCAGCAGCCGCGGUAUACGGAGGAUCCGAGCGUUAUCCGGAUUUAUUGGGUUUAAAGGGAGCGUAGGCGGACGCUUAAGUCAGUUGUGAAAGUUUGCGGCUCAACCGUAAAAUUGCAGUUGAUACUGGGUGUCUUGAGUACAGUAGAGGCAGGCGGAAUUCGUGGUGUAGCGGUGAAAUGCUUAGAUAUCACGAAGAACUCCGAUUG